UUCGGUUACGAUCGGUGACAGGUGGUGCAUGGUUGUCGUCAGCUCGUGUCGUGAGAUGUUGGUUAAGUCCGCAACGAGCGCAACCCCUAUUGUUAGUUGCCAUCAUUCAGUUUGGGCACUCUAGCGAGACUGCCGGUAAUAAACCGGAGGAAGGUGGGGAUGACGUCAAAUCAUCAUGCCCCUUAUGACCUGGGCUACACACGUGCUACAAUGGUUGGUACAACGAGUUGCGAGUCGGUGACGGCGAGCUAAUCUCUUAAAGCCAAUCUCAGUUCGGAUUGUAGGCUGCAACUCGCCUACAUGAAGUCGGAAUCGCUAGUAAUCGCGGAUCAGCACGCCGCGGUGAAUACGUUCCCGGGCCUU
rnacentral:rRNA from 1 species